rnacentral:rRNA from 1 species
GAGGGGCAGCAUGGUCUUAGCUUGCUAAGGCUGAUGGCGACCGGGGGGCGGGUGAGUAACACGUAUCCAACCUGCCGUCUACUCUUGGCCAGCCUUCUGAAAGGAAGAUUAAUCCAGGAUGGGAUCAUGAGUUCACAUGUCCGCAUGAUUAAAGGUAUUUUCCGGUAGACGAUGGGGAUGCGUUCCAUUAGAUAGUAGGCGGGGUAACGGCCCACCUAGUCAACGAUGGAUAGGGGUUCUGAGAGGAAGGUCCCCCACAUUGGAACUGAGACACGGUCCAAACUCCUACGGGAGGCAGCAGUGAGGAAUAUUGGUCAAUGGGCGAUGGCCUGAACCAGCCAAGUAGCGUGAAGGAUGACUGCCCUAUGGGUUGUAAACUUCUUUUAUAAAGGAAUAAAGUCGGGUAUGCAUACCCGUUUGCAUGUACUUUAUGAAUAAGGAUCGGCUAACUCCGUGCCAGCAGCCGCGGUAAUACGGAGGAUCCGAGCGUUAUCCGGAUUUAUUGGGUUUAAAGGGAGCGUAGAUGGAUGUUUAAGUCAGUUGUGAAAGUUUGCGGCUCAACCGUAAAAUUGCAGUUGAUACUGGAUGUCUUGAGUGCAGUUGAGGCAGGCGGAAUUCGUGGUGUAGCGGUGAAAUGCUUAGAUAUCACGAAGAACUCCGAUUGCGAAGGCAGCCUGCUAAGCUGCAACUGACAUUG